ensembl:misc_RNA 7SK 7SK RNA
CUACAUCUAUGACAUCUGUCACCCUAUGAUCACUAGAGUUCAUUUACCUGAUGGGGUAGGCUGGGCACGUAUCUUCUCCAUUUCUUACUGCUACAUCUGUAUUCCUCCUGAAGCUUCAUGCUCAGUCAGAGAGAACAACCUUCCCUGAUGAUGGACUGACGAAUGUUCCGUUGUGGGUGUACAAGUAACUGUGUUUCCCAGUGAGAAAGUCCAAACAAGCUCUCAAGGCCUUACAUUACUAGUGCUCUUGUUUUAAUUGCUUUCAAAUUUAAAAUAUGUCUGUUUGAAGACGGUACUUUU